UACAGAGGGUGCAAGCGUUGUUCGGAAUUAUUGGGCGUAAAGGGCGCGUAGGCGGUGCUGUAAGUCUGUAGUGAAAUCUCUGGGCUCAACUCAGAGUCUGCUAUAGAAACUGCAGUGCUGGAGUGUGGGAGAGGUGAGUGGAAUUCCCGGUGUAGCGGUGAAAUGCGCAGAUAUCAGGAAGAACACCCGUGGCGAAGGCGGUUCUCUGGGACGGUACUGACGCUGAGACGCGAAAGCGUGGGGAGCGAACAGG
rnacentral:rRNA from 1 species